AGAGAUGCAUAUUUGUUUGAUUUGGAGGAAAAUACUGAACCAGUGGUAACUUUAAAGGUCCCCGGGCAGCUUUGUCAAAUUGAUUACAGCUCAAAAACUCCACACUUGGUUGGUGGAGGUUGCUAUAGAGGUAAGGUUUGUUGGUGGGAUGAGAGAAUUGGAGGAAUCCCUGUUGGUCAAACUCCGUUUGAAAGCAGUCAUACACAGGCUGUAAAUAGCUUCAUUUGGUUUGGAAAAACUGGUUUUGAAUGUUUCACUGGAUCAGCUGAUGGGACCGUAAAAUGGUGGGAUAUCAGGGUUCCAGGAAUCCCAACAGAUCAGUUUUUACCGAUUCUCCCUGAGAAAGAAUAUUCAAAUGAAAAAAACGAGGAAGUCUCACCCUCUCCAGACUUUUAAAACAUAUUUUUCCUGUAUUUUCUAUAAGAUUACUUUAAACAAUAUGAAACAUUAUUGUCUAACUCUAAAUCCUUUGUGGGGGAAGGGGGAGGGCUGAUUUAUUUUCACCAUGACGACCACUUUUGUGUUUGCUUUAA